UCGAGAUUCUAGGCGUGGAAAUGGAGGCGCAGAUCGACAUCGUAAGGUCUUCCGCGAAAGCAUCCAGGGCAUAAAGUCGGUGACGGCUCGGUUCUCAAGGUCGGCGAGGAGAAGGAGAUCAGAAAGCAGGGAUAUUGAAGAAGGAACUCCUCACUAUAUCCCAAGCUUGAGGUGAUAGGAGUCUAGGGUUUGUGCUUAUUGAAUUUGCGCUUAUUUGUUCUUUUGGAUUGGGAUUGAUUGCAAUUAUGUUUGAAUUCAGUGCGUACAUUACACCGGGACGGGACACAGUUCGAUUCGAGCGGCAAUAGGGGGACAUCGUUCAGUUCAGUCGGACAAGUUAAGAAGAAGGGAAAGAGAUUAAGAAGAAAGCUCUGGAAUGGAAGAGGUUAAGCAGAAUGUAGCCCUUGCUUUAAGUUGUAUAGUUUUGACCUCUCUUCCAUCUGUUUUAGGUUUUCUUCCCCUCUAGUUAACAGUAUGAGAUUUUUCGUAUGUUCUGAAUUUCUGA